UAAAAUUUGUUUGGGUCCGC
rnacentral:siRNA from 1 species